GGAGUUGGGACAACUUGGUGGUCCUCUCUUUGUAAUGUUGAUUCGCGAUUUUGGUACCUCUCUCUGUAACUUCAGAUUUACUCCGUGGUUUUGCACACAACUUCUGGAAUAACUCUUCCCUUCCCAAGGAUUUAGGAAUUUUGGACAACUUGGUUAGGUUAUGUUAAUUUUACUUCAUUGUUUCUCUGUUGAUUCUUGUUGUUUACUCUCUCGAUCUACAGGAGAGAAAUUAAUGAAUGUGCAACUAUGGCGGUGAUUAUAAUUGGUUGGGGGUUUGGUUUAAUACUACUUAUUAAGCAUCUUUCAUGGUGUAUAUUUUCUUACAAUUGCUUUAAUACUAUUUUUUUUCAAGUUUAUUUCAUUCUUGAGAAUCUGUGUAUAUUUGUCAAGACCCAAUACUAACUCAUAUUUAGUCUGCUAAGCCUAGCCUUUACACUUUGUUAACUUUUCCUCUCUGCUGGGAUUAAUUUGGCAAUGCAAAUUUAGUUUUGAACAUUUCUGCUGGGAUUAUUCUUUGCAAGUUUGGGCGAGAUUAUCAGAUAAUGGCGAUUCAUCAUUGGGAUGUAAUGGCGAUUAUCAAAUUUCUUCGAUGAGUAAUUCUUUAUUAUUUUUACUUUUGAGCUUUGAAUGUAAGACAAAAAUUGAAUGUUGUGUACCUGUUCUUAUGCAGUGUGGUUUUGUCAAAAUAAUGAUGUUCUUUCAUCAUAGCAAUGGAGCCUCAAGUUUUUGUUUGCACAUCUCAUUCAAAAGCAUAUUUUGUUGAUAUUUUAUUUCAUCUGGUGUUAUCAUUUUCUUUCUCUUGUUUGAUCUUCCGAUUUUGUAUUCUGGUUCUUUUUUCUGGUCAUUUGAUUUUGAGGUUUGAUUUGGUUCUGGGUUUGAUACAUGUUAAUUGAAAAAUGACAUUGUUUUCUGCAGUGAAACGUGUUUUGGAACAAUAAUAUUUGAGUAGUGUCAAGCCUCAGGUUUAUGUUGGAACCUCUACUUGUAAUGUGAAAUAUUUUCAUUUUAUUUUUUAUCUGUUGAUUCUUAUUGUCUAGUCUUCUGGAUUUUCUCCUUGAUGAUUUAACCAUUAAUACUUAUUUUUUGUUUUGAAUGUUCACAUAC
rnacentral:lncRNA from 1 species